rnacentral:rRNA from 1 species
UACAGAGGGUGCGAGCGUUAAUCGGAAUUACUGGGCGUAAAGCGUGCGUAGGCGGUGUCUUAAGUUUGUUGUGAAAUCUCCCGGCUUAACCGGGAGGGUGCGGCGAAUACUGAGAUGCUGGAGUGCGGGAGAGGUAAGCGGAAUUCCUGGUGUAGCGGUGAAAUGCGCAGAUAUCAGGAGGAACACCAAUGGCGAAGGCAGCACUCUGGGACGUGACUGACGCUGAGACGCGAAAAGCGUGGGGAGCAAACAGG